UAUUUUAACUUUAAUUAUAAUAUUGAAACUGUCUUUAUUUAAAUAAUUUAUUUUUUUAUUUUUUUUAAUUUCUCUUAUUCUAUAUCACUCGUGAAAAUAUUUAUGAAUGUGUAGUUAAAAUUUGAUGAAAGAUUAAAUUGACAUAACUACUAAUAAUAUGUUUGGUUGAUAAGAAGAAAGUUAUAGGAAAAAUGUAAAAGAAAAGA
rnacentral:lncRNA from 1 species